UACAGAGGGUGCGAGCGUUGUCCGGAAUCACUGGGCGUAAAGGGCGCGUAGGCGGCUCGGUAAGGUUGCGGUGAAAGCCCGGGGCUCAACCCCGGGUCGGCCGUGGCAACUGCUGAGCUAGAGCACUGUAGAGGCAGGUGGAAUUCCGGGUGUAGCGGUGGAAUGCGUAGAGAUCCGGAAGAACACCGGUGGCGAAGGCGGCCUGCUGGGCAGUGGCUGACGCUGAGACGCGAAAGCGUGGGGAGCAAACAGG
rnacentral:rRNA from 1 species